AGACCACCCGCACCGGGGUCUGGGUGCUGCCUUGCUCCCCGAAACGUGCCCCUUCCCCAAAACUGCAGUGCGGGGCUUCUGGGGUGGGGGGUGUUUGGAGCCUCUGAGCUUCAAAGGGAGCCUGAGAAAUGAUUCCUUUAGGGAACGUGUGACCCAAGGCGGCUCUUUAUCGGCACGGUCUGUGUUGGAGCCGCGUGUGUGCAGAGCGAGCAGGAGCUGAUAUUUCACUGCAGUGGAAUGAGGGCGUGUGUGCCGAUGGAGCCUGUGCAUAUGGGGAGAUGUGUACAUAACCAAGCAAGUUCAAAUAGUGCAGUACGUGCCGUGCAGAGCGCGUGCCUGCAGGAAAGUGAUUUCUGAGCGUGCAGGAGCCCCAGAGACUCUUGGCCUCUGUCCGUGCGGUGACCAGGACGUGGGCUCCCAUCCGCGCCAGGUGGUACGCCAUCUGCUCCCCGAUUCCAGUGCUUGCUCCAGUGACGAUCACACGUUUCCCCUUCAGCAUCUCUGGGGACCAAGGCACAUGGGUUUAAUUUAUCCAAACCCUAUUUAAAAAGCAAAUAACAUCUCCUCAUGCCCUCAAGCAGCAGUUGAUUGCAAGCUGAGCGAGCUUGCCUGCAAACGCGGAGCCUCGUGCUCCGUCUUGCACCGAGCCAUCUCCUCCCUCUCCUGGAAGAGCUGCACCGAGGAGCAGCUGCGGCUCCAACUGACCACAGCAACACGGGGACGGUUCUUGGCUCUUUCAGAAGCUUUUUCAUGGAUCAGAAAACAACUUAUAAACAAACACAGCUAUUUUGCAAUAAAAAACACCCACUAAGUACAUACUUCAAAACUUAAAAUCCAACAUUCAAAAGCCAUGUUUAUGAAAUUUUUACAGACUUGAAUGUGAAGUGUUCAAAGCCCUCUCCAUUUCAGAAGCCCCUGCCUCACCUGCUCCCUCAGAAACUCUUUCUGCAUGUUACUUGCUCAAUUUGAGUUUGAAUCUCUGCUAAAACAACGCUCCUUUAUCAGCCCUGCCACAAAGGCUUGGACCUGGCUUGGUCCAAGCUCUGUACAGUUUCCAUGCAAAGCACUCGGAUGUGCCUUUUAAUAUUUUACUUACGGACAGAUUUACUUUUAAUACUUACCCGGUUUGAAAUUCUCCCUCGCAGAAUAAAAGCAGAAGGCCAAAACCAGUCCCAAAAAAGGAAUGAGAAUCUUUUGUAACCGACCCAUCCCUGGAAAUUGAGCAUGAAAGAGAAAGGAGGAAUAAAACCUCUGCAGAGCUGCUCCCGAAGGAAGCAGCAGCGGCAAUCCUUCAAAACCUGUUGCGAAGGAAUUGCAACUUCCAAAGCACUGGAAAAUCACAGUGGGGUUGUUAAGAGAGGCAAAACCUUUGAUCUGCUCCCCACUGGAGCUGGGGAGCCUCGGCCUAACCGGCGGUGCUGCUCCGAGCUCUGCCCGGCUCUUUUCAUAUUUCCUGUCCCUACGAUAAAAUGCAGAAUUUCGCACAACACCCUGGAAGAGGUGUGUCUUUGCUGAACAGCAUCAA